rnacentral:rRNA from 1 species
GUGGCAGCCGCCGCGGUAAUACCGGCGGCCCGAGUGGUGGCCACUAUUAUUGGGCCUAAAGCGUCCGGAGCCGGGCCCGUAAGUCCCUGGCGAAAUCUCACGGCUCAACCGUGGGGCUCGCUGGGGAUACUGCGGGCCUUGGGACCGGGAGAGGCGGAGGGUACCCCUGGGGUAGGGGUGAAAUCCUAUAAUCCCAGGGGGACCGCCAGUGGCGAAGGCGCUCCGCUGGAACGGGUCCGACGGUGAGGGACGAAGGCCAGGGGAGCAAACCGGAUUAGAUACCCGGGUAGUCC